rnacentral:rRNA from 1 species
CUACGGGCUGCUCCAGUGAGGAAUAUUGGUCAAUGGGCGCAAGCCUGAACCAGCCAUCCCGCGUGCAGGAAGACGGCGCUAUGCGUUGUAAACUGCUUUUCCAGGGGAAGAAAACCCCCGACGUGUCGGGGUUUGCCGGUACCCUGGGAAUAAGCAUCGGCUAACUCCGUGCCAGCAGCCGCGGUAAUACGGAGGAUGCAAGCGUUAUCCGGAUUUAUUGGGUUUAAAGGGUGCGUAGGCGGAUUAAUAAGUCAGUGGUGAAAACCUGCAGCUUAACUGUAGAACUGCCAUUGAUACUGUUAGUCUUGAGUACGGUCAAGGUAGGCGGAAUGUGUAAUGUAGCGGUGAAAUGCUUAGAUAUUACACAGAACACCGAUUGCGAAGGCAGCUUACUGGGCCAUUACUGACGCUGAGGCACGAAAGCGUGGGUAGCGAACAGGAUUAGAUACCCGGGUAGUC